rnacentral:rRNA from 1 species
GAUGAACGCUGGCGGCGUGCUUAACACAUGCAAGUCGAACGGAAAGGCUCCUGCUUUCAGGGGUACUCGAGUGGCGAACGGGUGAGUAACACGUGGGUGAUCUGCCCUGCACUUCGGGAUAAGCCUGGGAAACUGGGUCUAAUACCGGAUAGGACGAUGGGUUGGAUGCCGUUGUGGGAAGUUUUUCGGUGGGGGUUGAGCGCGCGGCCUAUCAGCUUGUUGGUGGGGUAAUGGCUUACCAAGGCGUCGUCGGGUAGCCGGCCUGAGAGGGUGGACGGCCACAUUGGGACUGAGAUACGGCCCAGACUCCUACGGGAGGCAGCAGUGGGGAAUAUUGCACAAUGGGCGGAAGCCUGAUGCAGCAACGCCGCGUGGGGGAUGACGGCCUUCGGGUUGUAAACCCCUUUCGCUAGUGACGAAGCGCAAGUGACGGUACCUGGAGAAGAAGCACCGGCUAACUACGUG